UUUUUUUUCCUGAUUUCUUGAAUGGCAAAGAAUGUGUAAAUGCAGCUGUAGUCAUCCUCUCUUGUGCUACUCAACUUCUUCAUUGUGGCUGCAAGAAUAUUUCGUUCAUUGUCAACUGCAAAUGUGAAAAGAGGCUGACCAUUCUUAACUGUAACUCUUAGCAGAGCUUGCAAUGCUGACGAUCCACGCUUCUUGUCCUGACACGUAUCAUCAAUAUUGAUUGCCCUACAACUUGUCAUAUUUAAUUUUACAACUCCUGGCUGUCUUGCUGCAGUUGAAGAAUCUAAUUGUCCAUCGGAUGACUUGCAGGCUCUAUCCGUUGAUACUAAAUCCCGUUGUAAUGGAUCCCCAGAACGACGGCAGUUUGGUGCCUUUGGUUUCAACAGUGGGUCUAGUAAUCUUCUCAGAGGGCUUGACCUGGCUCUGUUUGAAGCAUUUUGUGUAUCACUACUUGAAGNNNNNNAAGAGGAAUUUGUACCAUUCUCUGAGGCAGAUUUUGCAGAAUGAUGGAUUGUGCUCAAUUGUGGCAUAGAUGAACCCUCUUUGGAACUGUAACUUUUACCUAUCUUGCCCAUACCAAUGCCAAGUCGGCGAAAAGGUGAAGUGCUUCUCGGUUUUUCAGGAGCAGCUUUGCCUAACUUCACAUCCAAUCCUGUGGAAGGUUCUUUUGAAGUAGAAUUUAUUGGUGUUAUCAUUGAAGUAGAAUUUAUUGGUGUUAUAAUUGAUCUUUUAUUUUCUGAAAUUCUAACAUGGGAUGUACUGAUUCCUUUUUUGGCUGGAUGUGGUGCCAAGUGAGGGGUAUUGGGCAAAAAGCUGAUACUAUCGGCAUCUGAAGAGCACCCUUUCAUAUCUGCGCAUCCUUCAAUCUCACGAGGCAGCGGGCAAGAGUGUGGGACAUCAGAAGUGACUGCUGCAGGACUCGUGUCCUUAGGCAUCUCGUACAAGCUACUCCGACUUGCCUUUGUCCCCUUUUGAUGCAACAUUGCUGUCGACUCAGAAAGCUGGGCACAAUUGCCUUGGGAGAGAUCUCUUGGCAUAAGUAGAACUACUCUUUUACUUUUUUCAGAGACAUCUUGGUCAAAGGCAUACGCCUUCUGUUCUUGCAACUUAUUUGCUUUAUUCAUAAAUUCACCAUCUUGGGUUGCCUUUACCUUCAUGCACUGCCGCACUUCAAAAUUGACCCCAUUUAAAAAUCCACAUUCUGGAUUCAUCUUUGGGUCUGAAUCUUUUCUCUUGCACUGUUCCAGUUUGAUUUCAGGACAAUUUUUAGAAAGAAGUUGGUCUGUCCUGACGAACUUUCCUUGGUCAUUCAUAGUGUUAGUCUGGGCACCUUUGACAUCUUUAAAUUUUUGAAUGCUUUCUUCAAAC
rnacentral:misc_RNA from 1 species